rnacentral:tRNA from 1 species
GGGGAUUUAGCUCAGCAGCAUAAGCACCUGCCUUGCAAGCAGGCAGUCCUGAGUCCCCG